rnacentral:rRNA from 1 species
UCAAGCUUGCUUGGUCUGAUCAGUGGCGAACGGGUGAGUAACACGUGAGUAACCUGCCCCAGACUCUGGGAUAACCCCGGGAAACCGGAGCUAAUACCGGAUAUGACACCAAUCCGCAUGGGUAUGGUGUGGAAAGUUUUUCGGUCUGGGAUGGACUCGCGGCCUAUCAGCUUGUUGGUGAGGUAGUGGCUCACCAAGGCGACGACGGGUAGCCGGCCUGAGAGGGCGACCGGCCACACUGGGACUGAGACACGGCCCAGACUCCUACGGGAGGCAGCAGUGGGGAAUAUUGCACAAUGGGCGCAAGCCUGAUGCAGCGACGCCGCGUGAGGGAUGACGGCCUUCGGGUUGUAAACCUCUUUCAGCAGGGAAGAAGCGCAAGUGACGGUACCUGCAGAAGAAGCACCGGCUAACUACGUGCCAGCAGCCGCGGUAAUACGUAGGGUGCGAGCGUUGUCCGGAAUUAUUGGGCGUAAAGAGCUUGUAGGUGGUUUGUCGCGUCUGCUGUGAAAAUCCGGGGCUCAACCCCGGACUUGCAGUGGGUACGGGCAGACUAGAGUGUGGUAGGGGAGACUGGAAUUCCUGGUGUAGCGGUGGAAUGCGCAGAUAUCAGGAGGAACACCGAUGGCGAAGGCAGGUCUCUGGGCCA